CUUGUCAUUCCAGGGCCGUUGUAUUCCAUGUCCACCGUUCAACCAUAUGCCUCACCCAAGUGCAUCUUUCCUUUUUGUUUAUGAAGUUUGAACCAUCGGUACAUCUCGUUAUUCUCUCCGAAAGUUUCUACAGGAUGCUGUUUCUUUCAACCAAAGAAAGCAGAGGCAAAGAAGCAGUAAUUGUAUCUUGUCUGAUCUGGGUGAUGCUCAAGAUUGGUAAGGAUGGUUGUCAAGUUUUCUCCAUUGUAAUUGGAUGUCAUUUUGGCAAUAAAAUAGGACGCAAAGCAUGAUUUUGAUCUAUUCUUCGGUUUGUAUCGCUUGCAUGCGACCUUUGCUUCACCAUUGAGGCAUUGGGUGUAUCGAGAUGAUUUAAUUGAAGCUACUUGAUUCAUCAUUAAAUGAAGUGUUUUGGCAUA